UACAGGCUUCUGCACAUCAGCACUCUUACAUCAGGGAUAACCUGGACCUGCCUAAACUGCUGAAAGAAGCAACACAAGUGAGGCAGUCUGCUCAAAAAAGCAGACUGCUGUCUAGACCUGGACUGUGAAGCAAAUUCUGCUUCAGCUUUACCAAGAACAGCCAGGUCAUCAGAAAACAAAUGAGAAAAACAGAGGUGGGGUCAUAGGGCGAAACUGGAGAAGGAGGGAUCUAGUCCAACUGCACACAGCAAUCACAAGCACUCUCCUCUCCCAGGUGUUUUCUGUGCCCAGCAGCUGGGAGCAAUCAGAGGUAUUAUCUCUGCCCUUGGUAAGAACUAGGCAUGAGCAUGUGCAUCUCAGAAGUGGGAGAACAGAUCUCAGGGUAAACUGAAUAAGUCUGCUGUAGAUGCUCCUCAGACUCUGCAUCUUGAGAGACCCAAGAUGGAAAGUAUAAAACCCCUGUUAGCUCUGCAGUCUAACUGCAUUAGAGGAGCUGUAAAUUGAGAGACACUCAACUUAUUAUUUUUCCAGCUUAGGAAAAAAGAACUCCCAGCAUGGAUGGUUCAGAUUCACUUCACUCCCCCUUAACUGUCACCGUAGGGGGGUGCUCCGAGCUAAGCACUCUCCCUAUUGCCUCAGGUGUUAACUGGCACAGGCUAGGAGGAAAUCCCACAAGGAAGUUUUUCCUUCACCUAAAAGACUAGUGAAAACCCCACUUGCUAGACUACACAAAGAAUGCAAGGGUAAACCUGAGUGAUACAAAAUCACUGCACAGCCUAAACAUGCCAGACAUUGCUUCCUAAAAUUGCUUCUGCAGUUGUUAAAUCAACAGAAGAACUCACUUCACACCUGCUGCGGUUUAAUUGGUUUGGCCACAGGUGACCAGGCUGUAUACAAUAUUCUAUGUAUUCUGGUAUAGUCUUAGUGCUCUUCUUUUGCUGCAGCAAAUUCCUCCUUAAGCAUGUCUGGAAACAGAAGUACAGAACUGAGAUUAUCCCAAGGUGUUGGUACAGUGAGGUCUAUCCACAUUCCACUUGUUGUCAGCUCUGCUAGGACAAAGGGCUGGCCACUGUUUUCCUCUUUCCCUCAGACCACUGGUUCCAUUUGCAUUACUACCUCACAUAACACAACAGUCUUUACUCCUUCACAGUUCAGUUAACUCCACUCUAAAAGUUUUUCUCCUAAUAUUGAGGCAAACUUAAUCGCUUAUCAAGCCAAGUGUGCCUGCGCUGCCCUUUAAACAUGGAAGCAGUCACACAGUAACAUCUAAAGAGUCAUUGAAAAAAUUCUUCAGGUCUCAUCUUCAAGUGAGCUGCCCACAAGAUAUAUGACAAUGGUUGGACAGAUCAUGCUGUUCCAACACUGGUCACUCCCCAAGUUGCAAUUUUUUUUUCUUCCCUUUCUACUGUUAUCCUGCAUUCCUCUGGCAUCUUGUAUCCCUCUCCUAUUUUUUUAAUAAUUGUUUAGAGGUCUUUAAACAAUUAUUAAAAUUAUUAAGUCCCUUAACAUUUCAUUACAUACACAGUAGAGUCUCAAGUCUGAUUGGAGCCCUUAGAUGCAAUGAUACAAAAUAAUAAUAAUAGCUGCAGAGCUGUGUUAAUACUCUCCAGUUGUGAUGGGCAUGCUGGAAAGAUUACUUGAUGUUUAUAAAGCUUUUUGAGACUCUUAGAUGAAAGUCAAGCUAGUGAUGCACAGGAUUUAUUAUUCUAUUCACCACUUCAGUAUCCAAGGCUAGCAUCUAUUCUAGUUGAAAAAGAUUUUUACUGUAUUGUAAAAUGGAAACAAAAUGAAAUAUAUACAGUGCAUGGUGCUUUAUAUAUAAGGCACAGGCAGUACAGAAACAGAAUUUCAUUAUUGAAAUGGAUGUAGCUGAAGCUGUUACACACAGUAGGUAAAAGACCAGAUUCAGUGACCUCUUAUUCCAUUUAAUCAAAAUUGUUAGUAUAUGGUUUUCCAAAGGCCAAAGAAAAAUUCUGGGUUUUUUUUUCUUCUUUUCUUUAUUACGUAUUUCAUCACUUUGUAAUAAACCUUUGUAGUUGCUUAUGAUGUGAAUCUCAAGCAGACUUGACCAGCAAUAGAAUGAAAAUAAAGUGUAUGUAGGUUCAACAAACAAAGCCACCGUUCUUCUGUAAUACUCUGUGCAGUUAACCACCAGAUCAGAACCAUUUGGGGAGGCUGCACUCCGUCUUCCUCAUCACAACUUUCUGCUCAUUUCACAGCACCCCCACUGCUCUAUUUAGAUGCAGGGCCUUUGCAAGUUCCCCCCUCCUCCAGUUCUGUGCUUGCUGAGCACAGAGGGUAGACGAUGCUGUUUUAAUGGUGCUAGUUAUGCUAUACGUGGUCUUGCUGUUUCUAGGAAUAGACAUGCUCAGACAUCAAUUAACAUCUAAUUGCGGGAAUUAAUCUUGUUCAUCUGCCUCAGACACCACAGAGAUCAAACCAAGCCUAUUUGCAGUUCUAUUUUUAAUUUAGUGGAAUUAUAGGGUUUUUUUUUUUCAUCCAGUGAAAAAUAAUUAAGUGACAUGCUGUCCAGAGAAUACACAGUUCAGGGAUCUGGGUGUUUAUGAAGAAAUGAACCAAGCAGGAAAAGAUCAUAAUUGUUUGUGCCAAAGCAUCUUUGUUACUGCAAGUCUUUCCUCUCUUCACACCUUCUCACCAGUAUUUCUCUUCACACCUUCCUGCUUGAGUGAUCCUCAGAGAGACAGUGAGAAUUAUGAGAGUGGCUUGGGAAGGAAUUGAAUUUACCACCCUAGCAAAUAAUCCCCAUUUCUCAGGGUCAGCCUGUGCAUAAGGGCAAAACAAGCACGGAAAGAAGAUAAAACAAGGAAGUGGAGGGAAAGGAUUUAAGAACAACACCAACCACCAGAAAAAAAAAAAAAUCAAGCAAAAUGUUUUUGCAGCACUCCCUUAAAGCAGUCACCCAUCUUCUUUAUUACUUGCUGAAGACAGUCAUUGCAAGCCACAGAUGAGGAUUUGGACUGUGUUUUGUAAGUUUUGAUACUGAACGAAGUGAAGCAGCUUUCAGCGGACAGCUCCCAGUCUUAAGAUACUGCUCCAGUUUCCUACAUACAUGAGCAAGGAAGGCUUGAGCUUGGCCAGUGAGUGAGGGUGGAAGCAGGUUGGAUUAUUUAGCAGGAAAAGAACAGAAUCCUACAUAACCUGGAGUGAACCUGCAACAGAUACUGUCAGAAAGCUGGGCUCUAAAGAGCUGUGUGACAGAAAGCAGACAUGAGACUACACUCUGGGACUGGGUCACAACACCUUCUACACCAAACUUAAAGCAGCUGAAGGAACCAUUAUGUCCACCUACAAUGCAGACUGCUAACCUAUAUUUAUGGAAAGGUCUUUGAUGAGUCGUUUGGUUUUCAGAAAGAAGCAAACCACUCCUUUCUCAUUCCUAGGUUAAAUUGGCAAAGUCCUAGGUUAAAUUCCAAGGUCAAUAGUCAUGACGUGUAGCUUCACUCAUUUUUACUGCCUAUGUCAGUCCAAUUAUUCUCUUAGCUCCUCAGCACCAGUGAUCAGAAUUGAUCUCACCUAAGGCCGUCACCCCUCUCCUUCCUUUUUCUGUCAUUUGCUAAAUACAGCAUGCCCAGUAAUAACACUUUUUCUUCCUUCUGCUAAAGGAGAAUGUGGAAUAUUACUACUUCCUAUCAGCUCAAACUCCCUCCAGAAAUGCAGCUUAAGGAAAAGGUGCUGUGAAGCUUUCUGGCACCUUUAGUAUAGCUCACUCCCUAUAUGAGGAGCACAUUUGGAGGGGAUGAACACCAAUCAGCUCCACACCCAUAGAAAUUUCAGAAUUUACCAAAAAAUAAAAAGAGUGUGGGAGAACCACCACCAUUCCUUCUGCUCUCAUAGAUUUUCAAAAAUCCCACUUUAUUAUUUGAAGAGUGGAAUGGUUCCCAGAGCUUUGGCAACCAGACCUAUCAUUCCCACAUUGCAUUGUACUCAGAAAUGGAAGGAAUUUCUGGUUCCUGUAGAAGAGGAAGAUGCUCAAAAACAAGACUUGGUUUGGUGACACUUUCCUAGGAACAGGUCAAAUUUACACAUCCUUAUGUGUGAGUGAAAGGCAGAGGCAGACUGUUGGUAGCAACGUGUGCUAAGAAGUUAGAAAAAAACCCACAAACCCCAUUUAUUCAAUGCACAUCAUUAGCUACUUAAUUUAUAUUCCUACCAAGCAGCAAUAAACAUCCUUUUGCUGCUUCCCAUUCCCCUCACCCCAGCUUUUCCAUUAGGAGCUCAGCUGGAGGCAAGGAAGGAGUGGGAGAGGAGGGAAAUGGAGAACCUAAUUCCAUAUACCUAGUUCUCUCAAAAUACUGAUACAUAAUUCUGCCAAUGUAUGUUACCUUGACUUACAACCUUUGUGCCCCCUGCAGUCCUUACUCACUGCUGACAGCAGAGCUCCAAAAUACUAACACCACAACUCAACAACUUGAUUUGCUUGACACUUCCUCUACUACACUAUUUCUGGAGUUUUUCCCUCUUCCUCCUAAUUGCAUCCCCCCAAAUCAACAAUAAUCCAUACCAUUCUAUACUGUUUCAUCCUGCCCCACAGUAAACGUACUUUCUUUAGGAGAUAGAUAUUGCAAUGAAACAAGAACAUAAAGAAAAGUGAACCCCUUCCAGCACAAAGAUCUUAAUUCUCCAUCCAGAUGAAACCCUCACAUAAAGCAAGGACCAUUCUAAUUGGAUGGUAUUCACCUCACUUGCAAAUUACAGAAUUUUCUAGUGUGAAAAAGCACUUGCUAUCAAGUGCUAAAUAUAUCCAAUGGCAAUGAAGAAAAGAAAGAACACAGAAUUAAAACUCUCAGAUAAAGAGAGUAACCUUAAUGUAAACCCUAAGCUAAAAACCAGUACUUUAAAAAGUUCUCACAUUCAGAGAUCUCCUUUCUUUCUUUCUUUCUUCACAGACCUCAGAGGCACAGACAGUGAUACCCUGAUCCCAAAGCAAUCCGUUUCCUUCUCCAGGGUAAGAGAUACACACCUGAACUCAACAAUAACAAACAGGCAUCUCCGCUCUAUAGAGAACUCCAAACAAUAUCCUAAAUGUUUCCUAAUUAAACACUUGAACUCUAAAGAGAGACAUGAUGGAUGAUGAACCCUUCCACCCACAGUUUCCUACUGGUGGAUCACUGUUCUGGAAACAUUAUUCUGGAAGUCAUUUCGAUGCAUCUUCAAAACACUGUUCUGGAAGUCAUUUUGAUAUACCCAGCUUUUCCUAUACCUCAUUCACGAAGCACAAGUGGGAUUUGAUGCAAGUUUCAGAUUCAGCUCCAGGGAGAGGUGAUUAAAAAAUAAAGCAUUCUAGCAUUUAAAGUGCUGUA